rnacentral:rRNA from 1 species
ACCUGUGGCUGGGGGUGAAAGGCCAAUCAAACCGGGAGAUAGCUGGUUCUCCCCGAAAGCUAUUUAGGUAGCGCCUCGUGAAUUCAUCUCCGGGGGUAGAGCACUGUUUCGGCUAGGGGGCCAUCCCGGCUUACCAACCCGAUGCAAACUGCGAAUACCGGAGAAUGUUAUCACGGGAGACACACGGCGGGUGCUAACGUCCGUCGUGAAGAGGGAAACAACCCAGACCGCCAGCUAAGGUCCCAAAGUCAUGGUUAAGUGGGAAACGAUGUGGGAAGGCCCAGACAGCCAGGAUGUUGGCUUAGAAGCAGCCAUCAUUUAAAGAAAGCGUAAUAGCUCACUGGUCGAGUCGGCCUGCGCGGAAGAUGUAACGGGGCUAAACCAUGCAC